AACGCUGGCGGCAGGCCUAACACAUGCAAGUCGAGCGGAAACGAGUUAACUGAACCUUCGGGGGACGUUAACGGCGUCGAGCGGCGGACGGGUGAGUAAUGCCUAGGAAAUUGCCCUGAUGUGGGGGAUAACCAUUGGAAACGAUGGCUAAUACCGCAUGAUGCCUACGGGCCAAAGAGGGGGACCUUCGGGCCUCUCGCGUCAGGAUAUGCCUAGGUGGGAUUAGCUAGUUGGUGAGGUAAGGGCUCACCAAGGCGACGAUCCCUAGCUGGUCUGAGAGGAUGAUCAGCCACACUGGAACUGAGACACGGUCCAGACUCCUACGGGAGGCAGCAGUGGGGAAUAUUGCACAAUGGGCGCAAGCCUGAUGCAGCCAUGCCGCGUGUGUGAAGAAGGCCUUCGGGUUGUAAAGCACUUUCAGUCGUGAGGAAGGUUUAUGCGUUAAUAGCGUAUAGAUUUGACGUUAGCGACAGAAGAAGCACCGGCUAACUCCGUGCCAGCAGCCGCGGUAAUACGGAGGGUGCGAGCGUUAAUCGGAAUUACUGGGCGUAAAGCGCAUGCAGGUGGUUUGUUAAGUCAGAUGUGAAAGCCCGGGGCUCAACCUCGGAAUAGCAUUUGAAACUGGCAGACUAGAGUACUGUAGAGGGGGGUAGAAUUUCAGGUGUAGCGGUGAAAUGCGUAGAGAUCUGAAGGAAUACCGGUGGCGAAGGCGGCCCCCUGGACAG
rnacentral:rRNA from 1 species